UCGUCGCGUCCGGUGUGAAAGUCCAUCGCUUAACGGUGGAUCCGCGCCGGGUACGGGCGGGCUUGAGUGCGGUAGGGGAGACUGGAAUUCCCGGUGUAACGGUGGAAUGUGUAGAUAUCGGGAAGAACACCAAUGGCGAAGGCAGGUCUCUGGGCCGUUACUGACGCUGAGGAGCGAAAGCGUGGGGAGCGAACAGGAUUAGAUACCCUGGUAGUCCACGCCGUAAACGGUGGAUGCUGGAUGUGGGGCCCGUUCCACGGGUUCCGUGUCGGAGCUAACGCGUUAAGCAUCCCGCCUGGGGAGUACGGCCGCAAGGCUAAAACUCAAAGAAAUUGACGGGGGCCCGCACAAGCGGCGGAGCAUGCGGAUUAAUUCGAUGCAACGCGAAGAACCUUACCUGGGCUUGACAUGUUCCCGACGACGCCAGAGAUGGGGUUUCCCUUCGGGGCGGGUUCACAGGUGGUGCAUGGUCGUCGUCAGCUCGUGUCGUGAGAUGUUGGGUUAAGUCCCGCAACGAGCGCAACCCUCGCCCCGUGUUGCCAGCGGAUUAUGCCGGGAACUCACGGGGGACCGCCGGGGUUAACUCGGAGGAAGGUGGGGAUGACGUCAGAUCAUCAUGCCCCUUACGUCCAGGGCUUCACGCAUGCUACAAUGGCCGGUACAACGGGAUGCGACCUGGUGAGGGGGAGCGGAUCCCUUAAAACCGGUCUCAGUUCGGAUUGGAGUCUGCAACCCGACUCCAUGAAGGCGGAGUCGCUAGUAAUCGCGGAUCAGCAACGCCGCGGUGAAUGCGUUCCCGGGCCUUGUACACACCGCCCGUCAAGUCAUGAAAGUGGG
rnacentral:rRNA from 1 species